CCUACGGGUGGCAGCAGUGAGGAAUAUUGGUCAAUGGCCGAGAGGCUGAACCAGCCAAGUCGCGUGAGGGAAGAAUGUCCUAUGGAUUGUAAACCUCUUUUGUUAGGGAGCAAAGUCACCCACGUGUGGGUGUUGGAGAGUACCUGAAGAAUAAGCAUCGGCUAACUCCGUGCCAGCAGCCGCGGUAAUACGGAGGAUGCGAGCGUUAUCCGGUUUUAUUGGGUUUAAAGGGUGCGUAGGCGGGUUAUCAAGUCUGCGGUAAAAUCUUGGAGCUCAACACGAUACAGCCGUUGAAACUGAUGAUCUUGAGUGGGCGAGAGGCAGGCGGAAUGCGUGGUGUAGCGGUGAAAUGCAUAGAUAUCACGCAGAACUCCGAUUGCGAAGGCAGCAUACCGGCGCCCGACUGACGCUGAAGCACGAAAGCGGGGGUAUCGAACAGGAUUAGAUACCCUGGUAGUC
rnacentral:rRNA from 1 species